rnacentral:lncRNA from 1 species
GUGCAGUGGCGGGAUCUCGGCUCACUGCAAGUUCUGCCUCCCAGGUUCACGCCAUUCUCCGGCCUCAGCCUCCCGAGUAGCUGGGAUUACAGGCACCUGCCACCACGCCCGGCUAAUUUUUUGUAUUUUUAGUAGAGAUGGGGUUUCACCGUGUCAGCCAGGAUGGUCUCAAUCUCCUGACCUUGUGAUCUCCCGCCUCGGCCUCCCAAAGUGCUGGGAUUACAGGCGUGAGCCACCGCGCCCUGCCGUUUCAUGGAUUAUUUAUUUAUUUAUUUAUUUAGAGACGGAGUCUCGCUCUUUCGCCCAGGCUGGAGUGCAGUGGCGCGAUCUCGGCUCACUGCAAGCCAUGGAAUAUUUUUUAACCUUUUUUUUUUUUUAGCCCACGCUUCUUUCUGCUAAACCUAAAAAUGUUGUGAACAAACCUCCCACAUGCAGUAUUUUGACAAGAGGUAUGAUCUUCAUCACUGUAAUUUGACAAUCACUGAUAUGUAAAUUACAUUCUCCCUUCACCAGCCCAGAAUAUUUUGCUCAGCUAACCUUAUUUUAGCUUUCCUUCAGGAAAUCAGUAGAAAGUUUAUAUUUCCUGGGGCCAGGCGCAGUGGCUCAUGCCUGUCAUCCCAGCACUUUGGAAGGCUGAGGCGGGUGGAUCACGAGGUCAGGAGUUCGAGACCAUCCUGGCCAACAUGGUGAAACCCCGAAAAAAAGAAAAAAAAAUACAAAAAUUAGUUGGGUGUGGUGGUGCAUGCACCUGUAAUCCCAGCUACUUGGGAGGCUGAAGCAGGAGAAUCGCUUGAACCCGGGAGGCGGAGGUUGCAGUGAGCCGAGAUCGUGCCACUGCACUCCAGCCUGGGCAACAGAGCAAGACUCCAUCUCAAAAAAAAAAGAAGAAAGUUUAUAUUUCCUAAAUAUAAUGUUGUUCAAGGCCAGGUGUGAUGGCUUAUUGGGAGGCCAAGGCGGCGAGAGGAUCACUUGAACCCAGGAGUUCAAGACUAGCCUGGGAAACAGAGGGAAACCUCCUCUCUACCAAAAAAAUAAAAUAAAAUAAACAGGUGUGGUGGACCGCAUCUGUAGUCCUAGCUGCUUGGGAGGAUCCCUUAAGCCCAGGAAUUCUAGGCUGCAGCCACCCAUGACCAUGUCAGUGCACUCCAGCCUGGGUGACAAAGCAAGAUCUUGUCUCUAAAAUAUAUUUAAACUCCUGAUUGGACACGGUGGCUCACGCCUGUAAUCCCAGCACUUUGGGAGGCUGAGGCAGGUGGAUCACCUGAGGUCAGGAGUUCGAGACCAGCCUGACCAACACGGUGAAACCCCAUCUCUACUAAAAAUACAAAAAAUUAGCUGGGCGUGGUGGCUCACGCCUGUAAUCCCAGCACCUUGGGAGGCCGAGGUGGGUGGAUCACCUGAGGUCAGGAGUUUGAGACCAGCCUGACCAACCUGGUGAAACCCCGUCUCUACUAAAACUACAAAAAAUUAGCUGGGUGUGGUGGCACAUGUCUGUAAUCCCAGCUACUCAGGAGGCUUGUCUAUAUGUUGGUCUGUUUCUCCUUUUUUUUUUUUUUUUUUUUUUUUUAAAUACAGGGUCUCACUUAGCCCUCCAGGCUGGAGUGCAGUGGUACAAUCAUAGCUCACUUCAACCUUGACCUCCUGGGCUCCUAAGUAGCUGGGACUACAGGUGCACACCACCACGCCCGGCUAUAUUUCUUCUUUUAAUGGCUACAGAGUAUUCCAUAGUUGGAACAUACUGUAAAUUACUUAUUCUAUUCCUUUUUUUAUUUUUUGGGACAGAGUCUCACUCUGUCACCCAGGCUGGCGUGCAGUGGCGCUAUCUCGGCUAACUGCAACCUCUGCCUCCCAGGUUCAAGCGAUUCUCCUGUCUCAGCCUCCUGAGUAGCUGGGAUUACAGGUGCGUGCCAUCACACCUGGCUAAUUUUUGUGUUUUUAGUAGAGUUGGGGUUUCGCCAUGUUGGCCAGGCUGGUCUCGAACUCCUGACGUCAAGUGAUCCACCCACCUCGGCCUCCCAAAGUGCUGGGAUUACAGGUGUGAGCCACCACACCCAGCCCUAUUUAUUCUAUUCCUAAAUAUUUGGGUUGUUUCUAAUUUUUUGCUAUUAUAAACAAUAUUAUAUAUAUAUAUAUAUAUAUAUAUAUAUUUUUUUUUUUUUUUUUUUUUUUGAGACGGAGUCUCGUUCUGUUGCCCAGGCUGGAGUGCAGUGGCACACUCUCAGCUCACUGCAACCUCCACCUCUGGGUUCAAGCGAUUCUCCUGCCUCAGCCUCCUGAGUAGCUGGGAUUACAGGCGCACGGCACCACACCCAGCUAAUUUUUGUAUCCCAAAGUGCUAGGAUUACAGGCGUAAGCCACUGCGCCUGGCCUAAUCCUAUAUUACUUUAAUUCUACCAGCACUGUAAAAAAGUGCUUACGUCCUUAUAUACUUAGGCACAGUGGAUAUUUUCCGUCUUUUCCAUAUUCACUGAUAAAGUUGUGUGUGUGUGUGUUAUUUUGAGAGACAGGGUCUCGCUCUGUCACCCAGGCUGGAGUGCAAUGGCAGGAUCAUGGCUCACUGAAGCCUCCAACUCCUGGGCUCAAGGGAUCCUCCCACCUCUGCUUCCCAUGUAGCCAGGACUGCAGGCACAUGCUACCGCACCUGGAUAAUUUUUAAAUGUUUUUGUAGAGGGUCUUGUUACGCUGCCCAGGCUGGUCUCGAAUUCCUGGUCUCAAGUGAUCCUCGUGCCUCAUCUCCGAAAGCACUGGGAUUACAGGCAUCGCGCUCGGCCUACUUAUAAAGUUUUCAAUGGGCCUUUUUAUAUUUCUUCUGUGUAUUUCUAGUUUGUAUCAUUUGAAAAAUUCUUUUGGAUCAUUUUUUUUUCUUUUUUCUUUUUUCUUUUUUUUUUUUUUGAGGCGGAGUCUCUCUCUGUCCGCCAGGCUGGAGUGCAGCGGCGCGAUCUCGGCUCACUGCAAGCUCUGCCUCCCGGGUUCACACCAUUCUCCUGCCUCAGCCUCCCGAGUAGCUGAGACGACAGGCGCCCGCCACCUCACCCAGCUAAUUUUUUUGUAUUUUUAGUAGAGACAGGGUUUCACCGUGUUAGCCAGGAUGGUCUCGAUCUCCUGACCUCGUGAUCCACCCGCCUCGGCCUCCCAAAGUGCUGGCUAAUCAUUUCUGCGGUUUUCCUUGUCCUUGUUUUCCUCACAAGUGUGACAUGCUUGCCACAGACAAAAUGUAGUAGGUCUGAAGCCCAGCGUGGUGGCUCAUGCCUGUAAUCUCAGCAUUUGAGGAGGCAAGGUGGGAGGCUCGCUUGAGGCCAGGAGUUUGAGACCAGCCCGGGCAACAGAGUGAGGAACACACCCCCACCUUUGUUCUUCUGACACAGUGUCUCCGUCUGCCACUCAGGCUGGAGUGCCUGGUACAGUCACAGCUCACUACAGGCUCAACCUGAGGUGAUCUCGCACCUCAGCCUCCUAAGUGCCUGGGGCUACGGGCACGCAACAUCACAACAAGUUUUUUUUUGUUUUUUUUUUUUUUUGUAGAGACGGGAUUUCACCACGUUGCCCAGGCUGGUCUGGAACUCCUGGCCUCAAGCGAUCCGCCCACCUUGGCCUCCCGAGGUGCUGGAUUUACAGGAGUGAGCCACUGUGCCCAGCCAGCCCUUAAAUAUUUUUGAAACCUGAGUUUAGAAAUGUUUGCUUUUAGAUAGGUGUGACUAUCUGCAAACAAGCCAGAUUUUGCAUUUUUAGCAAAAGAAACAUGUAUGUGAAAGUGCUUUGAAAAAUACACAGCAAUACAUAAAAGCAGCACUCCAUCAUCGGUUCCUUGUGUAAAUUACGGUUUUUACCGGCAGGAAUCAGAGCGGAGUCUCCCGUGUAGCAUGCAGCUGCGGUCGCUGUUUGUAGAAACCAUGGGUUUGGGGUGUGGCUGUGCUUCCCGGCCUCACAGUUUGCUCUUGCAAAGAAUCUUAAGAUAAAACCAAGGAAGCUGCCGUCUGGAGUCGGGCUAAGGCCACCUAGGGAAUCUGUAAUCCAGCAGGUGCUUGUUGAGAAGUUUAACAGCAGGGGGCUAUGCCUUGAGGAUCCGGUAUAAAGAACAAGAAUCCCCUGCCUGUGCCGAGCACACAGUUUAACGUUUUGAAAAUAGGAUGUCAUUUAAUUCUCCCAGCCAUCCUGGAGGGUAGAGGCAGGAACCGCCAUUUUACUGGGGAAGGAGGCAAAGUGUUUUCUCCAGGUCACACAGCUUCCAGGUGGUGGAGCGUGGACUGGAACUCAGGUUCUCGGAUCCCAACUCCAAUGCGCUAUGCAGUGGCUGCCUCCCAGGCAGACGGCCCCUACCGUCAGGGGCAUGUGGUCUGCCAGAGAAACGCACACACACAUAUCAGCUCAGGGCUACACUGAUCAGGCAAACAAAGUGAAGGAGAAAUGAAGAGCAGGGUGAUUGACUUCUUUCUGGCCACACUCAAAGUCCUAAGAGCAAGUCAGCUCAUUCUCUGAACCGUAUUUCUUCAGACGCAGUGUGGCUUUUGUUGCCAAAGAGAAUGAAGUUCCGCAGAAGGCUGUUGUUCUCCUCUUUGGACACCUCCUUCCUUUCUUUCCGUGUCUGACCUUUUCCUCGUGUUCUGUUGUUGUGCCAAUCUUUAGAUCUUCAUCUCUAUGUCUAUCUUCCUGUAUCAAAGUGUAUACUGGCGUUGUGUGUGUGUGUGUGUGUGUGUGUGUGUGUGUGUGUGUGUGUGUGUGUUGAGACAGGAUCUCACUCUGUUACCCAGGCUGGAGUACAGUGCUGUGAUGAUGGCCCACUGCAGCCUCAACCUCCCGGGCUCAAGCAAUCUUCCCACUUCAGCCUCCCGAGUAGCUGGGACUACAGCCACACGCCACCACACCCGGCUAAUUAGUGUAUUUUUUUGUUUUACCAUGUCGCCCAGGCUGGUCUCUAACUCUCGGGCUCGAGUAAUCCUCCGGCCUCAGCCUCCUAAAGUGCUGGGAUAAUAGGCAGGAGCCAACUCCGGGGCUCAAGUGAUCCUCCCGCCUCGGCCUCCUAAAGUGCCGGGAUAAUAGGCAGGAGCCACCUCCUGGGCUCAAGUGAUCCUCCCGCCUCGGCCUCCUAAAGUGCCGGGAUAAUAGGCAGGAGCCACCUCCUGGGCUCAAGUGAUCCUCCCGCCUCGGCCUCCUAAAGUGCCGGGAUAAUAGGCAGGAGCCAACUCCGGGGCUCAAGUGAUCCUCCCGCCUCGGCCUCCUAAAGUGCCGGGAUAAUAGGCAGGAGCCACCUCCUGGGCUCAAGUGAUCCUCCCGCCUCGGCCUCCUAAAGUGCCGGGAUAAUAGGCAGGAGCCAACUCCGGGGCUCAAGUGAUCCUCCCGCCUCGGCCUCCUAAAGUGCCGGGAUAAUAGGCAGGAGCCACCUCCUGGGCUCAAGUGAUCCUCCCGCCUCGGCCUCCUAAAGUGCCGGGAUAAUAGGCAGGAGCCAACUCCGGGGCUCAAGUGAUCCUCCCGCCUCGGCCUCCUAAAGUGCUGGGAUAAUAGGCAGGAGCCACCGUGCCCACGUGCCCACCCCCUGUGCCGUAUCUUUCUAUGUCUCUUCCUAUUUCUUCAUUCUCCUUUUGUCCUUCCUGCCCUCUCUCUGCUUCAAUGGUCCCUACUGUGGAAAUGAAGUAUGGGUCUACACAAAGUAACUUUUACUUCAGAACAGAUGUCCAUUUUCUCUGUUAGGGUAUUUAUUUAUUUAUUUGAGACAGGUUCUUGCUCUGUCGCCCAGACUGCAGUACAGUGGCACAAUCUGGGAUCAUUGCAACCUCUGUCUCCCAGGCUCAAGCAGUCCUCCCAUCUCGGCCUCCUGCGUAACUGGGACUACAGUUACUGGGGUGGGUUCCACCCAUCUGGCUUUUUUUUUUUUUUUUUUUGAGAGACAGGGUUUUGCCAUGUUGUCCAGGCUGGUCUCCAACUCCUGGGCUCAAGUGAUCCACCCACCUUGGACGGAUCCCAAAGUGCUGGGAUUACCGUUGUGAGCUGCUGUGCCCAGGCUGUGUUAGGAUUUUUAAAGUGGAUGAGCGGACAGAGACCCCUAAGUUCCCUUUUGGUUCGGGAGCUCACUACGUGGAGGCGCUUCACGUGUGAUCUCACUUCUUUCUCAUGUACAUGAUUUUCCCAGAUAGGAGGAAAAGGUCCUCGAUCAAGGGUAGUUGCCCACACAUCACAUAUCUUAAUGGCAUUCACUUGAGAACUCACAAAGUAUUUUACAAGUAAAUACGGUAUUUUCCAUUUAAGGCUGAAGAAACCAGGAAACAGAUAUGGGGAGAGUCCCUGUGUCCUAUUCCUUAAUGAUAGCGAGUGGGGUCCAGAGGAAUGGGGGAGAGGAGAUGGAAAGGCAGGCCCACAUGCUUUCAUGGCAGAAAAAUCCCUCCGUAGCCCUUUAGAAUGGGGAGCUUUAUAAAUUCUCUGUUCAAGGGGGCGACAGUCUACAUUUGGUAAGUGAGUUUUACGUUGGCAUUAAGUAGCCCAAAUUUCACUCUGGAAACCCACACAAGCAGUGUAAUGACAAACUGGUGAAACCCAGCCCCACAGCCUGGAGUAGUGGAAAUUACCCUGGAACAGGUUCUAACCUGAGCCUUGUCCCUUCACAGGGUGGUGAGUCAGCGGCCCAUCCUGCACUUCGCUUUCUUCAUGUGUAACAUGGAAAUAACAGGUUUAGCCAACCUCACUGGGUUAUUUUGAGACCCAGGUGAGCUACUACACGUGAAAGUGCUUUGAAAAUUUGUAAAGUUACAUAUAAACAGAGAAUACUGUUCAUGGCAGCAUCAGAGCCCAUCAAUUCACCAUACAAAUUUAUGAGUAAAUAAUUAGGAACAGUAUUCAUCAGAAACUAUAUUGUGAAAGAUUAUUAUUCCCUCCUUGCUUAUCAGGCUUGAAGGCAGUAUAGUCAUCCGGCACAUGGAACUAAAGGCAGAAAGUACUGAGUUUGAAUCCCAGCUCGCCACCAGCAGUGUGACCUGGGGCGAUUUUUAAAUUGCUCUGGUCUGAGUCUCAUUUUGCUGAUACACACAAACACACACACACACACACACACACAGAGUGAGAAUAACAUCUGUUGUGAGGAUUUAAUGAGACAAUGUAGACAAAACAUCUGACAUAGGACCUAGCAAACAGUAAGUACUCAACAGGUAUGAGCUUUGGAAAGUAUGAAACAUGUAUUGCACCCUCAGAAUGUGCCAGCCUCACUUGGGGUACAAAAUGAAAAGACACAGUCCUUGUUUCUAGGACCUAACAGUCUGGUGGAGAAACAUACAAAUGAGAAAACAACAGCCUCGUUACCCAAACCCAAAGGCAGACCUGGAAACCUUCUUAGAGAAGGAAACAGCUGAUUCGAGACUUUUGAAGGAUGAGGGGAAGUUUGUGUAAACCAGGCCCCGUGUUUUUCAUUUGGCCUUACCAUUUGCCGACAGGGGUUUGAUCGCUUGAAAAGCUAAGGUUCAUGUUUCUGCUUGUUAGCUUUAUGGUGAUUCAACAUAAACAGUCUGGUGACUUCACUGAGCAUGGUGUUGAAACUGAUCUUACUUGCUAUUUUCUUUUUUCUUUUUUUUUUUUUUAUUUGAGACAGAGUCUUGCUCUGUUGCCCAGGAUGGAGUGCAGUGGCACGAUCUUGGCUCACUGCAACCUUCGCCUCCCGGGUUCAUGCCAUUCUCCUGCCUCAGCCUCCCGAGUAGCUGGGACUACAGGCGCCCGCCACCACGCCCGGCUAACUUUUUGUAUUUUUAGUAGAGGCCGGGUUUCACCAUGUUAGCCAGGAUGGUUUCGAUCUCCUGACCUCGUGAUCCGCCCGCCUCGGCCUCCCAAAGUGCUGGGAUGACAGGCAUGAGCCACUGCGCCCGGCCUUUACUUGCUAUUUUCUAUACAUGAAACAUCGGUUGUUUUGUUUUCAACUCAUAAAGAUGCCUUACAGCUUCUUGUGUAGGGGAGACUGGUUCCCACCACUCAAAGGUGCCAGCAUACUCACUGCCAAGCUGCUGCUCCCUUUAAGGAGGGAAGGCAGGGAGGACUUGUAACCACCUGUCACUCUCUGGAAACACUGGCGCUGGAGGUCACUGUGAUAAAUGCUUAGGAAAGAGACAGUGGACUGCACAGAGUCGUUUUCCUGGAGAGAAUGGAGAGUUCACAGGUAGCUGGUUUUGUCCACAAGCGAAUGUGAAAAUAAAGAGAGCGUCGCAUUUGUCAGAUAUCUUGGGACCAACCUGAAGUGGCUUUCUCCUUUCACUGAGUAUGUCAGCAGUGAAUUUGGGAGUUAGAGAUGUUGCCCUAAGUGGACGAAGUUUGAGGCUUUUCUUGAGGCUGUCUGCCACCGUCCUGUUGGCUAAGUCCCUUUUCUUAACCACAUAUAGGAAGAUGUUAGAGGCUACAUUCAUUCCAAAAGGUCACAGCCUAGUAACUGAUACUACCACUGAAGGAAAACUAUCUUUUAAACCUGAGAAACAUCUUCAGACUCCAUCAUGAAUGAAUCCAAAUUGAAAAAAACAAAAGCUGUGCUCACUCUACACCAGUUCCUACAUCACUAACUGCCGUGUUAAAGUAAUUUAACUGGCACCUAACAGAAAUCAUCUGCCACUUUGUAAAAGUCAUAGACUCAUAAGAAUCUAGAGCUGGAAGACCGUUAAAGAGCUAGUGAUCCAGCCUCCCUCUCAUUUCACGGACCAGCAAAUCGUGGCCCAGAGAGCCGAGCCCAGCUGUUCCGAAGUCCUCAUACGGGAUUUUGGUCAGCAUUUUGCAUGACGGUGAUCUGAGGAGACCCGUCAUACCUUUCAUUUGUAGUAACAUAAAUGAACUGUAUUUCCCACCCCCUACGUUUGUUAGCUGAGGAAGAUACAGACCAAAGCAAAAUAAAGCUGGUAGUUCCUAAAGGACAGAAGCCAAUGAUACUGAAAUUCCUGUCUUCAUCCAUGUGAUUGGUGCUUGGCACAAAUGAAAUGUAUUCCAAUUCAUUCAAGUUUAGACGCCUGUCCCGAUAACUGUUUUUUUGUUUGUUUGUUUGUUUGUUUUUUGAGACAGAGUCCUGCUCUGUGGCCCAGGCUGGAGUGCAGUGGCGUGAUCUCGGCUCACUGCAACCUCUGCCUCCCAGGUUCAAGCGAUUCUCCUGCCUCAGCCUCCAGAGUAGCUGGGACUACAGACAGGCACCACCACACCUGGCUAAUUUUGUAUUUUUAGUAGAGACGGGGUUUCACCGUGGUGGUCAGGCUGGUCUCGAACUCCUGACGUCAAGUGAUCUGCCCGCCUCGGCCUCCCCAAGUGCUGGGGUUACAGGCGCGCCCGACCCCGAUACUUUUAAAUAACGACACGUUGUGAACAACACCACAGUCCCUACGCCUCUGGAUGGUGUCUCCGGAUAGAUCCAAAGCCGAGAGGCAGUAAGAGCCUGCAGCCUCCACAGUCCGCCUCCUGGUGCAGGUGGAGAGGGGCUGCUGGAGGCCCCCGGACCUCACGCUUCCUGAGGGCCACCCCGGAGCGGCUGCAGCCGCUGGCGGCACCGGGAAAAGCAUCUCGGCCGUGCGGGGAGAGGCCACAUCCUGAGGCCUCCCACCGAGAAGCACCAGGGCUUGGUGGACGGGGCCCGCGAACCCAGGGCCACACGCCGCCUCCCUCCUUCCUUCCCCGCGGGCCUCGCCCCACCCCGGAGGGGGUUCCUACCUGGCUUCCUCGGCCCCGCGCCCACCCCGCCCCUUCGCCCGGGGCCGGCGAGAAGAGCAGGUCGGGGAGGGGCGCGUCCGCUGACGGAACAGAAGCCGGGAGCCGCGGCCCUUCCCGCCUCCGCCUGGGCCCCGCGGC